rnacentral:lncRNA from 1 species
CUUUUCUCUUGACUAGCUGAGUAAAAUGCUUCGCCCACUGAGUAGGCUUAACUUUAAAAACACAUGAAGAAACAGGUUUUGGAGAACUGUGUAGAUUUUGAUCUUUGGGAGCAGCUUUUUCUUGAAACACAGGAGCACAGACAGAAGCAGCUCUUGUCAGCAGCAUGAAUCUUUUGGAAUCCCUGCUGGUUUAAAAGGAAUUGGGGAUCAUAAGAGGCAAAGAGGAAAGAAAUCUGGUCUUCUUUCCAGAGUUGUACAUCUCUAAUUCCCUUUGAUAUUUUGCUCAGCAUUUGAUUAAAUCUUUUUCUGUAUUCUGGUCUCCCUAAUCAGAGACAGUUUGCAAUACCUCUGUCUGAAGUUACCUUCAGUCUGCUUCUGGAAUCUUGCAGAACAGAACAAGGAUCUGGCAGAAUUAUCAUUCAUAACCAAGGAGCUAUUUAAGGUUUUCCUCCAACACUCUUUCUGUGCCAUGCCCUCCAAAAGACAUCAGAGAGAGACAAUGGAUCUCAAACCAGCUACAACUCAAAUCUGGACUCAGUACAAGACCCAGAUUUUACAGUUCCCUACUUUGUACAACAAGAAGACAGAACACAUAGGAUGUUAGAUUGCUCAAGCGUGAUUGGUGGUAUUUUCACUUGACUUUGUUUAUAGCAAUAGAGCACUUGAUGGACCAAUCUAAGUCAGUUACACCAUAGCAAGUCUUCCAUCUAUGAACUGGACCUCAUUGCCCCCUGUAAACCCCUGUGUUUUCUGCAGUUUUACUCAGGUGACUGCAGCCUAUUAAACAGCUCUGUUGGUCUGUGACAUACAGG